AGUCAGCUCCGCACAAUUGGAUUCGAUGAAGCAUUGUACGGAGC
rnacentral:ncRNA from 1 species